GCCGGGGUGGGACGCUUGGAGCCCACUAGCGGUCUACACCACGAUCGUCCACUCCACGCCAUGACCAUUCCCGCCGCCGCUGCCGCCGCCGGAGUCGUCCGCCGCCGCAGACAACCCAACCCAACCCAUCGACCCGGCACAUGCUCCCGCAGUUCGCCGUCAGCCCGUCACAGCGUAUGAUUCCCGGAUCAUCCCUUUCGUUUCCGUCUGGACCACCGCCCUGCGACAUUCCUGAUUCCUGUUCCACUCAUGACGCGCCUAGUUUCCUAACGACGAUAAACGAUUCCAACCUAGAUGACCGGAUCCACCAGCUUUUGCUAAAUAUAGGUACGUAUCCUUUUUUGGCCCGCACGCAGCCAUGGACCACUGGCGGAUCAACUGUUCUUAAACCUCGUAGUCCAGGAGCAAAACAACACGGGGAAGAUGACAAGGGGAGUCGACGAGUCGUUCGGGACUUCGGGGGCUGGGGUUUACUCGGCGCCGCAUGUGCUGGUGGUGGCCUUGGUUGGGUAUGUGGAGGCGGGUGUUGGAAACACGCUGUAGGUGUUCGAUGUAAUGGAUCAGAAGGUUAUGUUGGUUGUUUGCGUCCUAAAGAUCAGGUGUCAGCGUCAGGAAUGAGCGAGAUAGAUAACCCACGCGGAAUCGUCGACUUGUGAGGUCGUGUGUGCCUGCCGUGUAGUUGUUGUUGAGGUAGUAUAUAUGUGCCUUUUAGAGAUUCGAGGUGUCUCCUUGGAGAAGGAGAAUAUUCAUGCUUAAUAAUGGUGCUUUAGUUCAGGUGCGGUGCAGUUGUUAUUCUCUUCAUGAGGGUGUUGCCACCAGUUAGGAUGUUACAUGAUCAGAAGCGUAAAUUGGGGUGAAGGAACCCUUGAGUUUUGACUAUUUUUUAAAGAUUACGCUUUGAUUCAGAGUGCUCCUAAUGGAACUAGAAUGGUCGGUGGCUAAAAGUUUAUUUUCUCUCUGUGCAAUGUUUGCAGUAAGUAGCUUUUUGAUUUUUAUGUUCUGAGACAGGUUGUCCAAAAUGGGUACAACAGUUGUUCCUUUAUAGUGGUCCUUUAUGCAGUGCAGAUGGUCCAUUACAAAUUUAUACUAGAUUGUGAAUCCACUUUUGAUGUAAGUGAUGAGAAGCCUUUCUGGAAGUGACAAGUGAUUUUCCUAUUUAUUAUUGCAACAUCACUUUGACAGAGUAGUUGAUGUUAGAUCAGAUGAACUUUUCAGCAUGCAAUUGGACAAAAGCUCAUAAGGCCUUUUAGAAGUAUAUCCACCCUUCAGAUUUUAGCAUUUGGAUUGGUUUUCAUAUGGAAAGGUUAGUCCACUUGUUUUCAUCACGUUCCUAUGUAUGCGCACAUGCUUAUUGCUUGAUGUUGCUACUCUUUCUAAGUGUGUCUCAAAGGAUUUGCUGUGGUUGCCUUGUAAAUUUUAAGAUUGCCUUAGUUAGAACUUUGUUAUGUCCAGAAGUCUAGCGCUGUGUCUGGCCUAGGAAUUACUUGGCCACGCGCUCGCCGUAUGUGCUGAUGGUGGCCGCUGUGUGAGUGGUGCGUUCUAGGUGUUUGAUAUAAUGGGUCAGUAGGUUACUUGCAUCCUGAAGAUCCCCGUCAGUGUCAGGAACGAGUGAGAGAGAUAAUCCACGCAUAACCAAUGGACUUUUGAAUCCAUGUGUGUGGUGUAGGUGUUGUUUAGGUAGGAUGUGCUUUUCAGAGAUUCGAGGUGUAAGCUUGCAGAAUGUUCGUGCUUCAUACCCGUGACUGUUGUUAUUCUCUUCAGGAGGGUUGCCAACUGUUACAUGAUCAAAAUGUAAAGUAAUCAUUAAUGUGCUAGCAUAAUUGUAUAAAUGUUACUUUGAUUCAGAGUGCUUCUAGUGGAAAUAGGUGAUUAUAGGUUUCUUUUUUCUCUGUUGUGACAUUUAUAGCAAGUAGCUUUCUGAUUUUCAUGUUAUGAGACAGGUUGUCUAAAAUGGGUAGAACAGUGGUCCCUUUGCUGUGGUCCUUCAUUCUAGUGCAGAUCAGCCAUUCCAAAGUUACACUAGAAUAAGAAUCCACUUUUGUCCUAAGUGAAGAAGCCUUUCUGGAACUGACAAGUGCUUUUUUUUUAUUUAGUAGGCAAGGUUAGAAAUUUGACAGAGUGUGCUGUUAGGUCAGAUGGGGUUUUCACUUUUCAGUAUGCACUUCCACAAAAGCUCAUAAGUCCUUUUAGAAGUAUAUCCAGCCUUUAGAUUUAGCAUCUAGCUAGAUUGGUUUUCAUAUGGAAAGAUCAGUCCACUUGUUGUGCACAUGCUUAUUGUUUGAAGUUGCUACUCUCUCUGAUGUGGCUCAAAAAUUUGCUGUGGUUGCCUUGUACAUUUAGGAUUCCCUUGUUAAAACUUUUUUCUGUACAGAAGCUUGGUGAUGUGUCUGGCCUGGGCUAAUAUUAAUGUUGUUCUCCUUUUGUAUCAUCUAUUUGCUAGUGAUGUACCAUCACUACUAAGAUAAGGCUGCUGUGCUGCAGUACAUAUGUACUAAAUUUCUUAAGGUGAGAUACCUAUGUUGAAUACACUCUUUGAUCGCUAGAUCGCUUCAGGCUUACACAAUCAGGCGUCCAUGGUACCUUGGCCUAUAGCUCAACCGUUUAUCUCCACCAAGGGCACAUUCAAAUCACCACUAGGAAGUGGGAACACCAUUUGUAUAUAUCACUCUAAGAGAAAAGGACUGCGUUUGGCGUUGAUGAAGGUUUAUAUACAACAAAAUGCAUUUUCCGUUGUUA